UACAGAGGGUGCAAGCGUUAAUCGGAAUUACUGGGCGUAAAGCGUGCGUAGACGGUUAUUUAAGUCGGGUGUGAAAGCCCCGGGCUCAACCUGAGAAUUGCAUUCGAGACUGAAUAGCUAGGGUGCGGAAGAGGGAAGCGGAAUUUCCGGUGUAGCGGUGAAAUGCGUAGAUAUCGGAAGGAACACCAGUGGCGAAAGCGGCUUCCUGGUCCAGCACCGACGUUCAGGCACGAAAGCGUGGGGAGCAAACAGG
rnacentral:rRNA from 1 species